AUUGAACGCUGGCGGAGUGCUUUACACAUGCAAGUCGAACGGCAGCACGGACUUCGGUCUGGUGGCGAGUGGCGAACGGGUGAGUAAUGUAUCGGAACGUGCCCAGUCGUGGGGGAUAACGUAGUGAAAAUUACGCUAAUACCGCAUACGAUCUAUGGAUGAAAGCGGGGGAUCGCAAGACCUCGCGCGAUUGGAGCGGCCGAUAUCAGAUUAGGUAGUUGGUGGGGUAAAGGCCCACCAAGCCAACGAUCUGUAGCUGGUCUGAGAGGACGACCAGCCACACUGGAACUGAUACACGUUCCAUCCUCCUACGGGCGGCAGCAGUGGGGAAUUUUGGACAAUGGGCGAAAGCCUGAUCCAGCCAUUCCGCGUGCAGGAUGAAGGCCCUCGGGUUGUAAACUGCUUUUGUACAGAACGAAAAGGUUUCUACUAAUACUAGGAGCUCAUGACGGUACUGUAAGAAUAAGCACCGGCUAACUACGUGCCAGCCGCCGCAGUAA
rnacentral:rRNA from 1 species